rnacentral:rRNA from 1 species
GUGAGGAAUAUUGGUCAAUGGGCGGGAGCCUGAACCAGCCAAGUCGCGUGAAGGAAGAAGGAUCUAUGGUUCGUAAACUUCUUUUGCAGGGGAAUAAAGUGCAGGACGUGUCCUGUUUUGUAUGUACCCUGAGAAUAAGGAUCGGCUAACUCCGUGCCAGCAGCCGCGGUAAUACGGAGGAUCCGAGCGUUAUCCGGAUUUAUUGGGUUUAAAGGGUGCGUAGGUGGUUUGAUAAGUCAGCGGUGAAAGUUUGCAGCUUAACUGUAAACAUGCCGUUGAAACUGUCGGACUUGAGUGUAAAUGAGGUAGGCGGAAUGCGUGGUGUAGCGGUGAAAUGCAUAGAUAUCACGCAGAACUCCGAUUGCGAAGGCAGCUUACUAAGCUACAACUGACACUGAAGCACGAAAGCGUGGGGAUCAAACAGGAUUAGAAACCCCUGUAGUCC